AAAGCAAAUCUCUCAAACCCCUUCUUUACUCAUCAUUCAGAUCAUCCUGGACUAAUUUUAAUCUCAAAGCCCUUAAAUGGAGAUAACUACUCUACAUGGAAAAGAGCAAUGACAUUGGCCUUAAACUCCAAAAACAAAUUGGGCUUUGUCAAUGGCUCGAUCAGAGCUCCCUCAGAAGACAAUGAUCAUGAAGAACAUGCAGCCUGGUCCCGGUGCAAUGACAUGGUUCAUUCUUGAAUUAUUAACACCCUUAAUCCAGAAAUCUCAGAUAGUGUGAUAUAUUAUUCAACUGCUCAUGAAGUUUGGGAAGACCUUCAUGAGCGAUUUUCUCAAAGCAAUGCGCCUCGUAUCUUUGAAAUUCAGCGCGACAUUACUUGCCUUCGACAAGAGCAGCUAUCAGUUUCUACCUAUUACACAAAAUUGAAGGGGUUGUGGGAUGAACUAGCCUCCUACAAUGACAUUGUACAUGGAACGCAGCAAGAACAACAAAAAUUGAUGCAAUUUUUGAUGGGAUUAAAUGAAUCUUACAGUGUCAUACGUGGACAAAUCCUCCUAAUGAAUCCUUUUCCUUCAGUACGCCAAGCAUAUUCCUCCAUCUCACAAGAAGAAAAACAGCGCCUCCUAAGCUCAACGUAUACAGGAGGUGAUGAUCCCAAUGGUAGUGCUGCCAUGGCAGUCCGUAAUAGCAACAAUCGAUCAACUGAACAUCUCAGUGCAGGAUUGGGGAGAUCAGAGCGCUUCGACAACUCAUAUAACCCACAAGGAUUCAGGUCACAAGAGAAAUCGGCAGGGAAUUUCAGUGGAGGAUGAUGAUUUCAACAAGAUAGAUGACGCCCAACCUUUGGCAGAGGGCGUCCUUAUUGUACAUACUAUGAAGAAGCGGGUCAUUGGGUGCAAACAUGCUAUCAAUUACAUGGGUAUCCAGCGGGUCAUCCAAAGACAAAAUAUGGGUUAGGAUCAAAGCGUGUCAAUAAACACAUAGCCAAUCAUGUGUCCACAGUUAAAAAUGAGCAGCCAGUUAUCGGUAUUUCACAGGAUCAAUUAAAACAACUUUUGUCACUCCUAGACAAUAAAGCUGAAGGUUCUAGUCCUCAUGCGAAUGCCGUAACUAAACCAGGUUUAUCUAAAGUUACUUCCCGUAAUUGGAUCAUCGAUAGCGGCGCAACAGAUCAUAUACCUUCUAAAUUAUUCACUAAGAAGCACACCAAAUGUUCAUUACCACCGGUACUAAUGCCCUGUGGAGAAAAGGCUGACAUUGUGGCAAAGGGAUCUUUACCCAUUAAUUAUGUCUAUUAUUUACACAAUGUGUUGUGUGUCUCUACAUUCAAAGUAGACUUGUUAUUUGUCAGUCGCUUGACAAGAGACCUUAAUUGCUCAAUAAUCUUCUUUCCUUAUUGGUGUCUAUUGCAGGAUCUGGCUACGAGGAGGAUGAUUGGUUUUGGGUAAACAACAUAACGGACUUUACUAUUUGGUGGCUUUGGCAACGAAGCAACAUACGUCUCAACAAACCUCCACCAUCAAUCAACCAACCUGCAAUCUCAUCACCUUAUCCACCAACCUUUGGCAUAAUCGCUUAGGCAAUACAUCACCUUCUCGUUUACGCUUCAUUGCUCAAAAUUUUUAAAAUUUUUCCAUUUAGUCCAAUAAUACUUGUCAUGUAUGUCCUUUGGCAAAACAGAGUCGUCUACCUUUCCAUUCUAGUGUAAUUUCUUCUAUAAAACCUUUUGCAUUAAUUCAUUGUGACAUUUGGGGUCCUUAUCGACACCCUUCCAUUUCUGGUGCUCGUUUUUUUCUCACUAUUGUUGAUGAUUUCUCACGUUUCACAUGGAUUUUCUUAAUGAGACAUAAAAGUGAGACGCAAUCCAUUCUAAAAAAAAAAUUUUUUUUUCCAUUACGUUAUCACUCAAUUUGAAGCUCAUAUUAAAAUUUUUCGAAGUGAUAACGGGGGAGAAUUUAUAUCACUUCGCACUUUUUUUUCACAAUAAUGGUGUCAUUUUCCAACGUUCUUGUGUUUACACACCUCAACAAAAUGGGGUUGUGGAACGCAAACAUUGUCACAUCCUACAAGUAGCUCGAGCUUUAAGAUUUCAAGCUCACCUACCCACCCAAUUUUGGGGGGAAUGUGCCCUAACUGCUACUCACAUCAUUAAUCGCUUUCCAUCUCCUGUCCUCUCCUUCAAAACCCCUUUUGAACUUCUCUUUUCCAAAUCACCUUCCUUUUCUCAUCUUCGUGUCUUCGGUUGUUUGGUUUAUGCUACCAAUGUUCGCAUUGCUCAUAAAUUUGCUCCUCGAUCCAUCCCUUCUGUUUUUCUUGGGUAUCCUCCCGAUCAAAAAGCUUAUAAAUUGUUUGAUUUAUCAAACAAAAUUUUUUUUACUAGCCGCGAUGUCAUAUUUCAUGAAAAUAUUUUUCCUUAUGCAUUUACCCAUCACCCUCCUUCCUCUCCACCUUACAUUCCCGGACCCAUUCCCCUAAUCCAUACAGACACCACCUCCUUUCCCUUUCAACCAUCCUCUUCACCAUAACCACCCAUGCCUACCCAAAUUCCCCUUUCAACAACACACUCUUCCCCACCUCCCACCACUCUACGCACCUACACACGCCGCCCCAAACCCAAUACCCUUGACACUGAUCCCAUUGAUUGCUCCAACACACCUUCCACCACCAUUUCGGCUCAAACACCACCCUCCACUACUUUACCCUCUUUGGAACCAGGUUCCAUUGCGCCAACCCCACUCUCUUUAGACAUCAGCCCACCAAACACACCUACACCCACCCCGCUUCGCCGAUCCAUCCGCCAUACUGGCCCUCCAGUCAAGCUUCGUGAUUAUGUCUGCUCACAUGUUUUCUCCGGCCAAUCACCCUCCUCCCCACCAGGUCUGAACAAAGGUACUCGUUAUCCAUUAUCCAAUUAUGUUUCCUAUCACAUAUAUACAUCUCCACAUCAUUCAUUUAUUGCUAAAAUUAGCCAUACCGUGGAACCAAAAUCCUAUUCAAAAGCAGCUGCUCAUCCUGAGUGGCAGGCCGCCAUGCUCUCUGAACUACAAGCUCUUCAGCAGAAUGGUACUUGGUCACUCACUUCUCUUCCACAAGGUAAAACUUUGAUUGGUUGUCGAUGGGUAUACAAAGUCAAGCACCGGUCUGAUGGCUCUGUGGAGAGAUACAAAGCCCGUUUGUUGGCUAAGGGUUUCACCCGACUUGAGGGUAUCGACUAUCAGGACACUUUCUCCCCAACUGCCAAAAUUGUUUAUGUCCGUUGCUUGCUUUCUCUGGCUGCAGCUCGCGGUUGGACCCUCCACCAAUUGGAUGUUCACAACGCCUUUCUCCAUGGUGAACUAUCAGAGGAGAUUUAUAUGUCUCCGCCGCCAGGGCUUCUUCGACAGGGGGAGGAAGACUUGGUAUGCCAUCUCCAUAAGUCCUUAUACGGGUUGAAACAAGCAUCACGCCAAUGGUUCACCAAGUUCUCUGAAGCCAUUUGCUCUGCUGGAUUCAAACAAUCUCAAGCCGACCACUCUCUAUUCACCAGACAACGAGAUAAGUCCUUCACUGCCCUUUUAAUAUAUGUUGAUGACAUUUUGAUUACUGGAAAUGAUCCCGACAGUAUCGCUAUGACAAAGAAAUUUCUGCAUAGCCAUUUCCACCUUAAGGAUCUUGGCCCCUUAAAAUACUUCCUUGGUAUAGAGUUCUUAGCUUCUAAGAACGGCAUUUUCAUUUCUCAAUGUAAAUAUGCAUUGGAAAUUAUUGAGGAUGCAUGAUUGUUGGGUGCGGCCCCUAUUGAUACACCUAUGGAACGUGGCUUAAAAUUAUCGGACAAGAGCGACUUGCUCAAAGAUCCGAGUCGUUUUAGAAGAUUGGUUGGUAGAUUGAUUUAUUUGACUGUUUCAAGACCAGAUAUCACUUAUGUUGUGCAUGUUCUAAGCAAAUUUAUGCACCAACCCCGGAAGCUUCAUAUGGAAGCUGCUCUUCGGGUCGUCCGAUAUCUGAAAGGGGCACCUGGUCAAGGGUUAUUCUUUCCUUCACACACUGAUUACAAAUUAAAAGCCUAUUCAGACUCAGAUUGGGCAGGUUGCCCACUGACUCGGAGGUCUACCACCGGUUAUUGUGUGUUCCUUGGACCCUCAUUGAUAUCCUGGAGAUCAAAACGACAGAAAACAGUCUCACUAUCCUCUGCAGAGGCAGAGUAUCGUGCAAUGACAAGAGCAUGUUAUGAGUUAACAUGGCUCCGAUGUCUGUUGAGGGAUUUAGGCCUUUUACAUCAUGAACCUGCGUUGCUAUAUUGUGAUAACAAGGCUGCAUUACACAUUGCAGCCAACCCAGUCUUUCAUGAGCGCACCCGACAUAUUGAGAUGGACUGUCACUAUAUCAGAGACAAAAUUCAAGAUGGUUCUGUGAUAACAAGACAUGUUCAUUCUGGACAUCAAUUGGCAGACAUCUUCACCAAACCCUUGGGAAAAGAUGUCUUCAUUCCUAUGAUUCACAAGUUGGGAGUGCAGGACAUCCACUCUCCAACUUGAGGGGGAGUGUUAGGAAUCCUGUUAGAGAUAUAUUAGGAAUGAAUAACUUAUACAUGAGUUCCCUAAUGUAAUAGGACAAUGAAUUCCAAGGAAGUGUUGGAUUCCUAGUAGAUGAGAAUAAUUGUAUAUACCCUUGUAUAAGUAUACGAUGCAAUCAAUAAUAAUUCUCAUUCCAACAAGUUCUAUUCUUCUCUUGUCAAUUUUACAGUAUCGAUGAUGAUGGCAGGGCACCUUAGUGCACUGUCUCUCUCUGGUGUCUCGAUUGCCACUUCUUUCACCAAUGUCACUGGCUUCAGCCUCGUGGUAAAGCCUUCUCGUCUCUCUUUCAUUAUGUGCACUAAAUCAUCCUUAAUCAUUCCAUAAAGAAGUAAUCCCCCUGCAUUAUGGCCACUAUUCUUAAGUUUCUGAAUUAUUAUUCAAACUUGCCUAUAUUGCAAUUGAUUGACGGAAAAAGCAGAUUGGAUUAGCUGGGGGUCUGGAAACUCUUUGUGGUCAAGCUUAUGGAGCAGGGCAGUAUAAAAAGUUCGGAAGCUACACUUAUGGCGCAAUGAUAUCACUCAUUCCAAUUUGUCUUCCCGUAUCUGUUAUUUGGAUAUUCAUGGACAGGAUACUAAUAGCAAUAGGAAUAGACUCUGAUAUCUCAAUUGUAGCCCGCAAGUAUGCGAUUUGUCUAGUUCCUGCGUUAUUUGCCAAUGCGAUUCUUAUUCCUUUGCUUCGCUACUUCCAGUGUCAAAGCAUGGUUCUCCCAAUGCUUUUAAGCAACUGUGCAACUGUAUGUAUCCAUAUCCCUCUUUGUUGGGCUCUAGUUUAUAAAUGGGAAUUAGGGUACAUUGGAGCAGCAUUAGCCAUUGGUUUGUCUUAUUGGUUAAAUGUGUUCUUCCUUGCACUUUACAUGGCGUUCUCUUCGUCUUGUGAGAAAACCCGGGGUCUUUACUUGGAUGAUAUUUUCUCAAGCAUAAAGGAGUUUCUGCACAUUGCCUUCCCUUCUGCUGCAAUGGUUUGGUAAUUUCUCAUUAACAAGAACUUGGUGUUUCUGUUGUCUUCUUUGAAUUCUAAAUUAAUUCAUCUAGCUAUACAUGUUCUUUCCCUUGCUCAGCCUUGAGUGGUGGACGUUUGAGCUACUUUUGUUGCUGGCCGGGCUUCUUCCUGAUUCGAAGCUGGAAACAUCUGUUCUUUCUGUUUGGUAUUCUUCUUGACCAAAACUUUAUAUCGGUAGAUUAGGAUGUUCAACAGGGAAUUCUUCUGAUGAUUUUCAAUCUUUAUGAUCAGCCUGACAACCGUGUCCUUGCACUACUAUGUAGAAUAUGGAAUUUCUGCAGCUGGAAGGUUCGAUUUACACCUUAUCUUCUUAAGAACAUAGGCAUGUGCACAGAUAAGAAAAAAUCUGUGUAUUAUCCACUGGCAUUCCUAUAAUUCAUCAUCUUUUCUGCAGCACUCGGGUUUCGAAUGAAUUAGGAGCAGGAAAUCCAGAGACAGCUCGAGGGGUUGUCUACGUAUCACUGAUCCUUUCAGCUACCGAGGCAUUUAUAGUGAGCACAGCUCUCUUCUUCUGCCGCCACCUUUUUGGAUAUGCUUUUAGCAAUGACAAGGGAGUUGUGGACUAUAUAUGUUGCUGAAGUGGCUCCCCUGCUUUGCCUCUCAAUUAUCAUGGAUAGCUUUCAAAUAGUACUUUCUGGUCAGUUUCUACCAUUUCAAAUUUAACCAUUACUACAUAUGGAGAGCAUCAUACAAGUAAAUUUGGACUAGAUCAUGUGAUUGUUUCAAUCCACGCUAUGAUAUGCAUUCACAUGUACCUUGUUGGAUGCAGGGAUUGUUCGAGGAUGCGGGUGGCAACACAUAGGUGCCUUUGUCAACCUGGGGGCAUAUGAUUUAGUUGCAGCUCCAGUAGCUGUUCUACUGUGUUUUGUUGCGCAUCUCAGAGGGAAAGGCCUUUGGAUUGGAAUAUUAACUGGGACUACUGAGCAGGCAACAUCAUUUGCUGUCAUAACUGCAAUGAUCAAUUGGAAAAAGCAGGUUCUUGCAUCAAUACCUGUUCUUCAUAUCUUCCUAUUUUUGCUUCGAUCGCCUCAUCCUGGAUAUCUGUUUUGGUAUAAUAAUGAUGUCUUCUCAAGCUUGCGUUAUCUUUGCUGCAAACAAAUGGAAGUUGGUCGCUCCCACCGCGACUAAAUAAUAGAGUUGUUUAAGCAUUGUGACUAAACUUUUUUCCGCACAUGAACAUUGCAGGCAUCAGAGGCAAGGAAGAGGAUCUUUGAGGGAACAUGUUCGACUAAUGACGAAUUGCUUGAUCAAAAUAAAAAAACCUGACAGAACCAAUGUGCUUGAUGAUGAGUUUGAGAAAUCGGUGCUAUUCUUGAAAUCAUCUUUUUUUCCGAUUCAUUAUCUACAUGUCUUUUCAUACUAGAACUGGAUAUAAUUCUACUCCAUUGAAGCACAAAAUAACGUUCUUGCCACAUAUAGAUGGCUUAUAGCAUAUCGAAUUCGAACCACUUAGCAACAAGUUUUACCAGGUAGGUAACUACAUAUGUUGCUAGAAACUUUCUGCUGUCGAUAUUUAUUUUCCGGGAGACAGAACGGUUUGUAGCUUAAAGGUUCGUACUCUGCUUUUAACAGAGCCGGGAAUUCCAGUGUCACUAUGUCGGAAUCCUUGCAGAUGUAAAAAAUUGUUUUCAUAAUAUUUUUUUUCCUGGAUUGAGGUUAGUAAAAUUGGUAAAAGAACGUCUUUGAAGCAUUCCAUUUUCACUCAUUCACAUCUCAAGGCGGUGAGGGUAUCCUAAGUUCAGCUUUGAUUAACUCCAUUGAAGUACAUAUUGUCGAAUUUGUAGAAGAAAAUACGGUUUUGGUUUAGAUUUAUUUUUCUAUUACCUUUUUGUUUAAAACAUGGUUAUAAGCAAAAUUUAGUGACAAGAACAUGAGAAUUGAACAAAUUGUAAUAUAUUUCAAAGUCUACAAAGAAAAUACAAAUGAUUUAUUGAUCAUAAAAGCAUACCAGUCAUAAAAGUACAUUGUGAUAAAAGAAGUUAAUAAUACUAACAAGUACACUUGAAAAACCAUUCUAUAUGUGUGUGUGUGUGUACACACCUCUCUUUCUUGAUCCAUGAAUAGUGGAUGGAUGGCUUCCUGUUCUUUUCCCUUGUGCAGCAAACAACCUCUUGCACAUCCAAAUCCAAUACUUUACACAUCUAUCUUGCACAUAGGCAAGAUAAGAGGACGGAAGGUUACUAGGUUAUAUAAUAUACGUAUGCAGGCUGAAGUGUAUAGAAUUUUAGUACUUGCUAGUAAGGAGGAGGUGGUGGCCUGUAGGGAUCAAAGAAUGGUGGUGGGGGAGGACCAGGGGGUCCAGGAGGUGGAGGUGGAUGGUGGUGAUGAGGGGGUGGUUGAUGACCAAAGGGUCUUGGAGGAGGCGGUGGUGGUGCAAAGGAUCUGGUGGUGGAGCAUCAAAGGGCCGAGGUGGAGGAGGUGGUGCAAAACGAUGACGUGGUGGGCUGUCAAAGGGUCGAUGUGGAGGAGGAGGUGGCGGUGCAAAAGGAUCUGGUGGUGGAGGAGGUGCAAAGGAUCUGGUGGUGGAGGAGGAGGGUGUCUACGGAAUGCCAUUUUCUCUUAAACCUUUAGUUGCAAACACAGUGGUUUCUAUUUUUAUUU
rnacentral:lncRNA from 1 species